CAUGACUUGUGUUGAACAAGACAAGCUGGCUGAAGCAUUUGAAGGCGCUUUUGAGGUACUGAGGUAACAUUCAACUGAUCUUCACUCCUCCCCAGAUGACAAAAAUUACCUGGCUUUCGUCAGCCACUGUCCUCAUGUCAGAGGAAAUUCCAUCUGCUAAGAAGUGUUGCCCACAGAGGAACCUGUGUAUAGCUGGAGAACCAUCAUAGCAGGAAGAAGCUCUGACCGUUUUAAUACCUUCACGAAUCCCCACAUAAUGCUAAGAUGGUGUCUUGUAUCCAGGAGUAGAUAAAACCAAAGAUGUCUUUCUGUUUGUAUUGAAAAAUAAAGAAAAACUUUAGGGAAAAAGAAAAGUCAGCCAGAACCCCAUGGCUUACUCAGAAAAUUGUCAGGGCCCUGAGGAAUUAUGGAAGAACUGGAGAAAUCACCAAAAUCCAGAGGAAGCUGACUUACCAACUUACCAAGGCCAUCCUCCAAAGACUCUAUCUUAUUUAUUAGGGAAAGCAAUCUUCUACUCACAGUAUGUUCAGCCUGAUCAAGAAUAUCUUAGUUUAAAUAACUAGAAUGCAAAUUGUAACUAUACAUGUGCCAAUUACCAUGAGUUAAGUCACCCUGA
rnacentral:lncRNA from 1 species